AAGAGAUAUAAUGACAAGCAAGGUUACCAUGAAGAGACUCGCGUAACGAUGGAUUUUGAUCCUUCCGAACUAUUGAAUCAUCAGGGAAAUACAGAUCAUGGUUCGCAAGUGAGUGACAUGCGGCGCGAAGUUCGAAAAUCAAGGUUUGGAAGAGAGAUAUGAAGCAAGGACUUGUAGGAGUGGGAGUUAAUCUUCUCUAAAUAUACAAGGAUGCUUGACUAAGCAAUCUAGCCAAUGAUGGAACAUUGUCAAUGGCAUCUGAACCAUUCUAACUACUGCUGGCAUGAGACCCUCUUCUU